rnacentral:lncRNA from 1 species
AAUGUUUCUCCCAUUAUAUAUGGAUUAAAAACAAAAGAUAUUGGCAGGAAAUCAAAAAAAUCAAGUCAUCUCUUUCAAGAAGGGCUCAAGAAAUAUCCAGAAAACACUGUGCAGAAAAGUUUGUUAUGGAUAUGCUUACUUUUCAAAAAGACGUUGAGAGAUAUCAAGAAGCUAAAUCAAGAGUUGCACUUGUGAAAACAAAUUUUGUCUUUAAUAUUCCCAAUGGAAUGUCAAAAUGAACCAAUGGCAGAUCACCUUCUAUGAUGAUCUUAAGUUUAGUCCAUUACUUUUACCUAAUGUACUUUGAAAUGAUACUCUGAAAGAAAUGCUCUGUGUCACAAGAUGGAUUUAUAUGU